CCUACGGGGGGCAGCAGUGGGGAAUUGUUCGCAAUGGGCGCAAGCCUGACGACGCAACGCCGCGUGGAGGAUGAAGAUCUUCGGGUCGUAAACUCCUGUCGAGCGGGACGCGGUACCGCUAAAGGAAGCCCCGGCUAACUCCGUGCCAGCAGCCGCGGUAAUACGGGGGGGGCAAGCGUUGUUCGGAAUUACUGGGCGUAAAGGGCUCGUAGGCGGCCAACUAAGUCAGACGUGAAAUCCCCAGGCUCAACCUGGGAACUGCGUCUGAUACUGGAUGGCUUGAAUCCGGGAGAGGGAUGCAGAAUUCCAGGUGUAGCGGUGAAAUGCGUAGAUAUCUGGAGGAAUACCGGUGGCGAAGGCGGCAUCCUGGACCGGAUUGACGCUGAGGAGCGAAAGCUAGGGGAGCAAACGGGAUUAGAUACCCUUGUAGUC
rnacentral:rRNA from 1 species